GGCUCAGCGGUUAAGAGCACUGGCUGCUCUUCCAGAGGACCUGGGUUCAAUUCCCAG
rfam:Mesocricetus auratus contig072029, whole genome shotgun sequence.